AAACCAGCGCUCCGGGCUGGGCGGCCGAGCGGGAGCGGAGCGCAGGAACUGCCCGGCGGGCGGGCAGGCAGGCAGGCGUGGCGGAUCGGCCAAGCCAGCGCGGCCACAUGGGCGGCUGGCGGCGGGGCAGAGAGCCCGUUCAUUGACUGGGAAGACCACCCCUGCUCCGGGCUGGCCAUCCGGCAGCCGCCCCGGGGCGCGUGGGGCUUCGGAGCAAAAGCUGGCGCGGCAGGCGGAGGGAUUCUCCAGGUGACCUGAAGGUCACUCGCGUCCCGAAGCCGCACCGGACCGUUGAACGCGCCUCUCUCUCUCUCCCUGUGCCUGGAAUAGCGAGGCAGAAGAGGAGGAGUGGAAGAAUGAGAAAGUGUGUGUAGGGGAAAGCGAAGGAAAGGGAAGGAGCGCCGGAGGGAGGCAGCUCUGCUCUGUCCCGCUGCCUAAGAGCUCUCCUGGCAAGGGCCGGCGAUUUGGGGGCGCUGGGAAGAAGCCCCCCCUCCCUUGGCCAUGUCACAAGCUUCCAACAGGAUGCGGUCCAACAGGGCAGGGAUCCGAGCAGCUGUGGUGCUCAUAGGGUUGUUACACAAGUCCAGAAAGCAAAAUAGAGAGAAAAGGAAACAGGAGGCACUGAACAGCACAGAUGUGACGGCUCCAGAGAGACCUUUAUCUCCACCAUUCACGGCUCCAGCAAGUAUGAAGUCUGCAGAGUUCUUCGAAAUGCUAGAAAAAAUGCAGGGACCAAAAUCAGAAGAACAGAAGGGUGGAGGCCAGAAAAACAAGGAGGACUAUAUCCCAUAUCCCAGCAUUGAUGAGAUUUUAGAAAAAGGCAGUCCCUACCCCUUAAUCAUCUUGCCUCAGUUUGGGGGCUACUGGAUCGAAGACCCUGAGAACCUCAGCACACCCACCUCGUCGGAAAGCAGCAUCUGUGAUGAAGAGGAGGAACCACUCAGCCCCAGCACUUACGGCUACAAACUGGAGUGCAAAGGUGAAGCCAAGGCGUACCGGAAACAUUUCUUAGGAAAGGAUCAUUUAAAUUUUUACUGCACAGCCAGCAGCCUGGGCAAUUUGAUCCUUUCCAUUAAAUGUGAAGAGGCAGAUGGGAUUGAAUAUCUACGGAUUAUUCUCAGGUCCAAAGCAAAAACAUUACAUGAAAGAAUCCCUUUAGCUGGACUCAGCAAGCUACCAAACAUUCCACAGAUUGCAAAGGCCUUCUGUGAUGAUGCCACUGGAUUAAAGUUUCACCCUGUGCUCUACCCCAAGGCAUCACAGAUGAUAGUAUCCUAUGAUGAACAUGAGCUUAACAACACUUUCAAGUUUGGUGUGAUUUACCAGAAGUUUAAGCAAACACAGGAAGAAGAAUUGUUUGGGAACAAUGAAGAAAGUCCUUCCUUCAAGGACUUCUUGAAUUUGUUGGGAGAAACCAUUACACUUCAGGAUUUCAAGGGCUUUCGAGGUGGCCUAGACGUCACGCACGCCCAGACAGGCACCGAAUCCAUCUACACGGUGUUCAGGGACAGAGAGAUUAUGUUCCAUGUCUCCACCAAGCUUCCCUUCACAGAGGGGGAUACCCAGCAGCUUCAACGGAAAAGACACAUUGGCAAUGACAUUGUGGCUAUUAUAUUCCAAGAAGAAAACACUCCCUUUGUUCCAGAUAUGAUCGCUUCGAAUUUUCUGCACGCCUAUAUUGUUGUCCAGGCAGAAAAUCCAGAAACGGAUAAUGCAUCCUAUAAAGUAGCUGUCACAGCACGAGAAGAUGUCCCCUCCUUUGGUCCUUCACUGCCAAGCCCACCUGUAUUUCAAAAAAAUGCAGAAUUCCGAGAGUUUCUUCUAACAAAGCUGAUCAAUGCAGAAAAUGCCUGCUGCAAGUCAGACAAGUUUGCAAAGCUUGAGGAUCGCACACGUGCUGCCUUGUUGGACAACUUGCAUGAUGAACUCCACGUCCACACGCAGCUGAUGUUGGGCCUAGGAUCUGAGGAAGACAAGCUGGAGAAUGGUGGCCAUGGUGGAUUCUUGGAAUCAUUUAAGAGAGCGAUCCGGGUCCGCAGCCACUCCAUGGAAACCAUGGUUGGAAGCCAGAAGAAACACCAGCCUGGAGGAAUCCCUGGGAGCUUGAGUGGAGGGAUUGUGCACAACAGUGUUGAAAUAACCAAGACUACCUUCUCUCCUCCAUUAGCAGCAGCAACAGCCAAGAAUCAAUCAAGAAGUCCUAUAAAGAGGCGUUCGGGGUUGUUCCCCCGUUUGCACACUGGAUCUGAAAGCCAAGCAGAACCCCGGACCCGAUGUGACAGUGGCUCGGGAACACCCAAGACCCCCGAUGGAGGGCAUUCCUCCCUUGAGAUGAAGUCAGAGGCCUCCUCGAACCCCAGCUCUCCAGAAAUCUGUCCCAACAAAGAGAGGCCAUUCAUUAAACUCAAAGAGAAUGGAAGGUCAAAUAUCUCCCGUUCAUCUUCAAGUACCAGCAGUUUCAGCAGCACUGCAGGAGAGAGUGAAAAUAUGGAAGAAUACGAAAGCCUGGGCAGCCAGUCCUCAACUGCAUCACCAUAUAAGCAAGAUGUCUUUGUUUACAGUCCUUCCCAAAGCAUCGAGAAUCCAAAUUUAGCAUCAGCCUCAACCCCUGUUAUCAUGAGCAGAAGCCCUACUGGGGAUAUAAAAAGCAGAAAUUCUCCGAGAUCAAAUUUAAAAUUUCGCUUUGAUAAACUUAGCCAUUCAAGCUCUGGUCCGGUAAGUACCAAUGCAUGUAACUGCCUUCCCUUAAAUCAUGGCAGUGACUUAUCCUGUUACAUUUCCCACUUGCAAACAAAGGGAGGUGGGUCAAACUCAAGGCAUGGCCUUUGGAGUGGCAGCCGCCCACUAGCAGAAGCUCCCUCUUUCCUGACCUCUGACAUUUUGACUUUUGAAUGCUUAACGUCUGUCUCCGAUGUGUAUUGGUGUCCCAUGGCUGUAUUUAGUAAGAUACAGCACCACAGAUCCAACGUAGGAAAGAUCUUGCAGAGGGGACAGUGGUGCAUUCAAUGCAUCUGUUGGCUUUUUUCUUUUAAAAAGUUGCACCUUUUCCUGGGCUGACAUGAUAGCUGCAUGGUGCUUGGAAAAGAUACAUUUAUGUUAAGGAGGUGCUGAUUUAAUGUCUCCUUAACUCAAACAAGUUUCUCCUGGGACCAUGUGGCUAAUGUCCAAACCCAGGAAAAGGCAUAGCUGCUUCUUCAACUUCUUUAAGGAGAUCCCCCCCACAAAACACAGGUGCAGUCAGGGUGCACCUGUGCCCUCCAAAGCAUCUUUUCCACUUUGGAUCUCAAGAGCUAUCUCAGGUGAGAUAGUAAAACAGCUCAUCGCUUGUUUGGUUAUUUUAAGCACAGGGAACAGUAGGAAACUCAGGGAAGGAAAAAGAGUAGGGGAAAAAAAUUCUGCCAGGUUUUGAACCAUUUACAAUGCAAGAGCCACUGUGCUGUUCUAGCACCGGUGGUGAGUUGAUCUAAAAGAACUUUAGAAAAGAAUUUAGAAAGAAAUUGUAUGGUAAGAAAGGAUUUAUUGUUGUGCCUGCAUGUAUGUGAGAAAAGGCAGGGGAUUAUAGGAAUUGGAGUCUGGCUCAUGUAGAGGGUCAGAGAGGGUUGUAGAGAUGCUUAUAUGCUUGACAGAACAUGUUUCCUUUGUCUGCAGACACAUUAGGAGAAGAAUAACCUGUAAGGACUUCUAAAGGACAUUUUUGUUGUGUUUGUUUCAUUUUAAACAGGGUGGGAGGGAGGACUUUUGUUUCGAACAACAGCAUCCCUCUACCACACCAAGCGCCAUAGCCACAUAAGGAAUGUCCUUCAUCCGAGCAGAAUUUCCAUAAAACCACAAAAGAACGGCUCUCUUCCUACUUGUUCCAUGGCAAUCGUCCAUGCUUUCUCCCUCUGGAAUGGAAGGAUGCCCCAUGGAGGAACCCAGUUUUGUACCACGUGGACCUGAACUGGCUUCUGUCGUUUUUCACUCGGUAUAUCAACAGAUUGCUAAUGUUGUAUGUAGCUGCUUGACUUGAGAUAAUGAGUGCUGCUUUUUUGGGUGAAUCUUUUGACUUGAGAAAUAAUAUUAAUAAUAAUAUAAUAAUAAUACUUCUUAGCUGUUUUGUGGGCUAGUUUCUUACCUAAUUGAGGCCCCAAACCCUGGAUUUAAGUGACCUUUUCUUUUUCUUAUGCUAACACUGAUGUUAAGGUUUCCCCCACAAAGACAGCGCUGUGCCAAAAUGUUCUUCUGCCUUUGAGCAUUCUGCUUCCAUGUGAUGGAAAAGAAAUGGCAUUGGGUUUUUGCUUUUAAAGGAGAAGAAAAGGUUGAUGGACAUCACAAGGGCAGCAAAUGAUGGACAUGCACAUACCUUAAUUACAGGUAGCCGUAACAGUGCAUGUGAGCCUUUGGUCUUUCUCUGUAUAGUUCUCACUGGCUUGCAGUCUCCUGACUAAAUCCUGACUAAAGAGGGAAAAAGAAAGGGGUUGCCAUCUGGGUUUCUUUCAGAUCAGGGAGCAGCCAGAGACAUUUCAGGGAUGUGUGUUUAAAAAAUUGUAAAAUAAAAGCAACCACACUUGACACUUCCCCCUUUGCGAUGAGAAAAUAAGUUCAACGUCACCCUUCCCCAUCCUUCCUAAAGCUCCUGGAGAAUGAAGAGGAAAAACAGAAGCCACUUUCUCAGGCAAUGAAAAUGAAUCCAAAGGACACCAUUUGAAACAGUGUUACUUGGAAACAGCUUCGGUGAAUGCGGCUCCCUUCCCUCGAACGUAAAAAGAGCGCUGUGAGAUCUAAGACAGAGGUCUAAGCAGAUCUUUAUUCCCCCCAGAGCCAUCCAGGAACCUCUAGGAAGACUCCAUACAGGGCAUGGGGACAACCUCACUGCCUUUGAACACGGAUGCUGUAUUUGAUUAAUGGUCAGUGAUAGACCUUGCUGCCUGCAUGAAUGUACCUUAAAUUAGCAGCCUUGGAUCACCUUGUGGUGUAAGUUCUGUACAUUUAGCUAAAAGCCCUCUGGAUUAACAAAGCAUGUUGUGGCAGUGACUUCCAUGAAUGGACUUCGCUCACCUUGAAAAACCAUGUUCAGUUAGAGCUCUCAACCAUCUGGAGAGUUUCAUAAAAUUUAUUCGUCUAUGUUCUGCUUCUUCCUUCUAGUUUGGCUGUUACAGGAAGAGCAGCAUGUGUUUGUGACUCUGUAUAAUUUCUGUAAGCCACAGAUCCAACCAUGUUCUCUCUUUUCAUGUCAUAUCAGAAGUGGGCCAGCUUUGUGUGGCAGAAGGCAGAAGCCUUCUCCAGGGAUGCUUUUCCAGCUUUCCAGUCUAGCCUGCAAGUCCUGGGAGAUUCUGGUGCUCUCUCCUCCUUAUACUGACACAGAAGAACCCUGUUUAGUUUUCCAAGGUCAGCCAGUUGACCAGAAGUUGUGUCAACUUCUACCUACCCCACUAGGUAGUCCAGACCAGGACAUCUACUCUGCAGGAAGGCUAAAACUACUUUUAUUGGGAUUGGCUAUGACAACAGAACCUUACAAGCCUGAUUGUGCUGGACCUCCAGUGAAUCAGGGUGGCAUCUGCCUGAUCCGCUUCCAGAUGUUAUCUUGUUGCUCCAGACUUAAAAAAUGUCGGCCUCUAUUACCUUGGGAACGGUUCCUGAAUAUUGAUGCAGAUCUCCAUCCGAAAAGUGGCUGUAACAGAGGCGUUAGAGGAAAGAGUUGGAAAAAUUCAGAUAUAAUGAAUGAAUGCAGGACAAUGUCACUGGGAUUAAUAAUUUAUUCUGCCAGAUGGCAAAUUAGUUUUUGAUAUGGAAGAGGAACAGAUUUUUCUGUGAUUUUGACUGCAGAUGCCUCUGAUGCUGCCCGUACAGGUUGAUGAAAGCAGAGCUAUGUUGUUGCACACAGGCUCCGCCGCUUUUGUGCAUGUGUGCAACAUCGUGACACACCUACAACUGAGCUUGCGUGGUGCCAGCAAAACUCUGCUUCCCUUUUCCCUCCCUGUGGGCACCACUGCUAGAAAUUUUUCCCGUUCACGUCUUAUGUAGGAGACCAUCAUUACAGUUUAUAAACUGAACCUGUAAAAUUUUGUCUCCCUGUGAUGCUGAAUCAAAAUGUGCGUUCACCACUGGAUGCUUGCUGGCUAAAUUGUUCUUACACCUUUGGGUUUGUUUUUGUCGUUGUUUUAUGUUGCACCUUGUCCAUAAGGUUCAGGUCAGCCCCCGCUCUGACAAUUUGGAAAAAUAGCUUGAUUUGGCUUGGCAUCAAUUCGGAGGUCUUGUGACUCAGCACUGCCUCCAAAUCUGAAAGUCAAACCAAUAAUAAUAAUAAUAAUAAUAAUAAUAAUAAUAAUGACAAAAAAAAAGUCUGGAUAGUGGACGUUGCAAUACCUGCAGACAGCAGAUUAGAAGAGAAAGAACGAGAGAAUCACAAAACACAAAACCUGCACAUAGAAGUAGAAUGACCGUGGCAAAAGAAAGCAAAGAUAGUACCAAUAGUAAUAGGCGCCUUGGGUGCAAUCCCAAAGCAUCUGGAGCACCACUUGAACACCAUCAGCACUGACAAAACCACCACCAGUCAGUUGCAGAAGGCAGCUUUACCUGAAACAGCUUCCAUCCUGAGAAGAUAUCUUCAAUAUUAUUGAACAACAUCUGCCUAUCCCAGGUCCUUGGGAAGGACUCAGAGGUGGACAAAAAUGCAAAAUCCAGUCUAAACAUCUGGCUGACUGUGCGAUCAACCAUAAUUUUUAUUUAUUGAAAAUUUGAUGAACUAUAAGGUACAAAACAAGAUCUGUAAUCAACAGAUAAUGCUGCCCAACCUCAGGUUUAUAAGUGACAGUGAGACAAACAAACUUUUUACAACCAAGCACUUGCAGCUUUCUCUUUCUGAAAACUUCGGGGGUUUUUUGGUUUCUCCUUGGCUGCCAAUGGAAAGAAGGGGACAUGUCAGGAAUUUUCACCUCUGUUUUGGUGAAAUUUCGGGGUGGAUGUUUGAAGGAGGGGCACGAAACUAAAGGGGUUCUAAACCUCCUGGAAGCUGGACAUAUCUAUUUUCAUUUAGUUAAUUUUUUUAAAAAGUGAAUUAAAAAAAAAAGGAACAGUCGCAUAAAUUGGUUUCCCUCCUCCUCCCUUCCCAAUUUAUGUGGCUGUAUGUUUUAGGGGAUUUAAAAUUUUAUACAAUUUUAGGGAAUUCCUCGGGCUGUAAGAGUCCAAUGACAGGCUGCAAAACCCUCCCUGCAGAUCAAUUUGGUCUUGCCAGGGACAGUGUGAGAGUGCAGUGUCUGAAGCCCAUAGUAAACUGAGUUCAAAAUACUGGCAAAAGUCAUAAUCUUUAACCCAGGAGGCUGAGUUUAGCAUGGAAGAGGGAAAAAAAUGAGAAGUAUGAUAAUAUUGCACUGUCUAGUUUUCUAGAGUUGGGCAGCCUUAGACAUCUCUGAAAUAAAUUAAACAAUAAAAAUAAUUGCUGAGUGGGUCAAAUUUGAGCUUUCACUAGAUUUCCCCCCAAGGGAAUCCUUGCCAUUUUGAUCUUCAGCUCCAUCCUAUUUCACAGAGGGUAGCUUUCCCCGAACACCACUUCACUCCUAAUCAAGCAGCUGGUUUUCAAAGAUAUACUGCUUCUGAGUCCGGAGGUUCUACUCAUGUUUUUCAAGCGUGGCAACUUUAAGAUGUGUGGAAUUCAACUCCCAGCUGGGGAAUUCUGGGAGUUGAAAUCCAUACAUCUUAAAGUUGCCAAGCCUGAAAAACACUGUAUUUCUGAUUUUUUUCUGUUUUUGAAUACUGCAUACAAAUUUCCUGUAUUUUCUGGUUGUAUUCUGAUAGAGAGACUGAGGCUGCAAUCCUAUCCACACUUACCUGGGAGUAAGCCCCAUUGAUAGAGGUGUUUGAAAAUGGUGUUAUUUACCUUACUCAGAAGGAAGCCCAUUGUAUUCAGCAGGAAGUAGGUGUAAUCCUAUCCUACUUACUGGAAACAAGCACCUGUACUCAUUGAGUAUAAUGGGACUUAUUUCUGAGUAGACAUGCAUAGGAUUGGGCUCUGAGAAAUAAUUAUAUAUGGUCAUUAUACCAUUGCUAAAACAACAAACCUAAUGGUGGCCUAAGACUUUUGCACAGUACUGUAUAUUUCACUGGUACUUCUCUCAGCAAAUGCUGGGAGCCAGUGAUGUAUUGUAUGAGAAAAAUCCACCUCUUAAUGGAGAACUUCGCACUGAUUGAUUUUAUUGCUUAAUUUUGCAUUGAGUUGUUUAGUGUCUGAGGAAAAAAAUACUUUACAAAAAGAAAAGGACCUCAGCCAUUGCACUCUGCAUAACAGGAUAACAGGCUCUUUAACAUUUCUUAGACAGUAACAGAAUGUUAUUUUUGUUGAACAGGAAGAAAAACACAAAGCAUGCAUUGACACUUUUGAUUAAAGUUUUCUCUGGCUUUCACAAAUGUAGCAUGGUACUGCAGCAAAUUAAGAAAAAUGCUCAUUUUUAGAGAAUACCAGAAUAUAUCUUACUCCUUCAUUUUGACAACCCAGGAAAAAAACAAACCAUUAUUGUGUUCCUAAAGUUUAAUGAGAUUGUGAAGAAUGGGAUUUUUUAAAAAAAAAGUAGACUCUGAUAAAAUGAAGUAUUUUUCCUUGUGUUGAGAAGCAACGUUUCCUAGCAGGUCGCUAAUGUAUGUUGUACAUAAUGUAUAUUUAAUUUAUUGCUAUGGUAGCAUCUUGUAUUUGUUAUUGUAUAAAAAAAAUUCUACAGAAGGGUAAAAAAUGUAUAUUUUGUUGCUUAAACGUGUCUUUGCAAAAUUCAUAAUUAAAAAAAAUAUUUUGUGUCAAAA